rnacentral:rRNA from 1 species
CGCGUAGGUGGUAGUGUAAGUCUGGGGUGGAAUCCCAGGGCUUAACCCUGGAACUGCCUUGGAAACUGCAUUACUUGAGUCAGUGAGGGGAGGGUAGAAUUCCUGGUGUAGCGGCGAAAUGCGUAGAUAUCAGGAGGAAGGCCUGUGGCGAAGGCGGCCCUCUGGCGCUGGACUGACACUGAGGCGCGAAAGCUAGGGGAGCAAACGGGAUUAGAUACCCCGGUAGUCCUAGCCCUAAACGAUGGGUACUAAGUAGGCGCGGCCCCGAUGUCGUGUCUGCUGUAGCCAAUGUGCUAAGUACCCCGCCUGGGGAGUACGGUCGCAAGGCUGAA